GAUCAUGGCUCAGGAUGAACGCUAGCUACAGGCUUAACACAUGCAAGUCGAGGGGAAACGACAUCGAAAGCUUGCUUUUGAUGGGCGUCGACCGGCGCACGGGUGAGUAACGCGUAUCCAACCUGCCCGCCACUUGGGGAUAACCUUGCGAAAGUAAGACUAAUACCUAAUGAUAUCUCUAGAAGACAUCUGAAAGAGAUUAAAGAUUUAUCGGUGAUGGAUGGGGAUGCGU
rnacentral:rRNA from 1 species